rnacentral:rRNA from 1 species
UACGUAGGGUGCGAGCGUUAAUCGGAAUUACUGGGCGUAAAGCGUGCGCAGGCGGUUUUGUAAGCCAGAUGUGAAAUCCCCGGGCUUAACCUGGGAAUGGCAUUUGGGACUGCAAGGCUGGAGUGCGGCAGAGGAGACUGGAAUUCCUGGUGUAGCAGUGAAAAUGCGUAGAUAUCAGGAGGAAUACCGAUGGCGAAGGCAGGUCUCUGGGCUGACACUGACGCUCGAUGCAUCGAA